GGUCUCAUAGUCUAGUUGGUUAGGACUGUGGGUUCUGAUUCCACCAGCCUGAGUUCGAAUCUCGGUGAGACCU
rnacentral:tRNA from 1 species